GACGAACGCUGGCGGCGUGCUUAACACAUGCAAGUCGAACGGUGAAGCGCCUUCCUUUUUGGUGGGUGUGGAUGAGUGGCGAACGGGUGAGUAACACGUGAGUAACCUGCCCCCUUCUUCUGGAUAACCGCAUGAAAGUGUGGCUAAUACGGGAUAUUCUGGGUCUGUCGCAUGAUGGGUCUGGGAAAGAUAUUGUUUCGGUGGGGGAUGGGCUCGCGGCCUAUCAGCUUGUUGGUGGGGUGAUGGCCUACCAAGGCGGUGACGGGUAGCCGGCCUGGGAGGGUGGCCGGUCACACUGGGACUGAGGCACGGCCGGGACUCCUACGCGGGGCAGAAGUGGGGAGUAUUGCGCAAUGGGCGCAAGCCUGAUGCGGCGACGCCGCGGGAGGGAUGGAGGCCUUCGGGUUGUGAACCUCUUUCGCCAGUGAAGCAGGCCUGCCUCGUUUGUGGGUGGGUUGACGGUAGCUGGAUAAGAAGCGCCGGCUAACUACGUG
rnacentral:rRNA from 1 species